rnacentral:tRNA from 1 species
GGGCCCUUGGCUUAGUCUGGUUAUAGCACCCGACUGAUAAUCGGGAGGUCGUGGGUUCAAAUCCCAUGGGGCCCA